rnacentral:misc_RNA from 1 species
UGUGGAGCCAUGGAUGACUGGAAAUUGUCGAGGGCCGUCAACUGCUUUCUGUCUUCUGUACAAAUUUUUUACCAUGAAACUCACCGUCAAACAAAUGCACGGUCUAUUAAAGCACAAGGAUUCUCCUUAUAUCAGAGCGGUAAUUAUGUCAUGCCCUACUUCUUUUUAGUUGUCACUUGUUAGUGAUUAAAUUGGAUGGAGAAUCUAUAUUGCUUAGAUAUUUGUUAUAUAUUUUAAAUGUUGUUAUGUAUGAAUGUGCAUUUAUUUUAAUAUUCCAAAUAGUAUUGGCGUUUGGAAUGUGAACAGUGGCCAGAUAAAGUUCCUGUAAUUUUCUUAAAUUGGCCUCAGCUUUAGUUCAUGCCUUUUAAUUUUUGAAGUUGUUUACUUCGCACUUUAGUUGUUUGUUUAAUACUGCACAAUUGUAGAUGCUUGUCUUAAGUUUUUAUCACCAUUUUCCUUGCUUAAAAAUUAUGACAUCAGUGCUGGUAAUCUACGCAGAUACAAAAAACUUUUCUUGUUCUUUCUCUCUUUAUUGCCUCUAAUACCAAUGAGAAUACUAAAUGGAAAGCUAACAUUAUCUUUACAAAGAAUCUUUUUUCAAAUUUCAGAAUGCAGGUGACAUUUGCUUGGACUUGUUUCUGGAUUUAAACUUAGCAUACUAGGUAAAUUAAUUCAUACCAAUAUAUGAGGCUAGUGUUUAGCUAGUGAUAAUCAUGUUUGCAGACCAAAGCUAUAGAAGGCAUUGUAAAAAAUUUGAAUAUAUGUUUUUAUAUGUUUGUAUUUCCCUGUAAACUUUAUAAUGGAAAAUAGUUGUUUACUACAUGGUUUGUCUCUGCUAUUUGUGAUAUUUAAGUCCGUUUACCCUUAUUAGAUGUCUGUGCAGUACUAGGGUUAGUGGAUUGCUGAUAUACAAGCUGGAAGCCUUUCACACAAGUGAUGAAUUUCGGAUUAACAAAACUUGUCCAAGAGUUAACAGCAUUCAAACACUUGUAAUGAAUUUUUGUGCUGUAUGCAUACAUUAUAUACAUCUGGAUUUACGUAUUCUUGUUUUUGUUUUUCUCUUCUUUCCCUAAUUUUUUGGGCGAGUUAAAGGGAAUGAUCCAGUGUUGAUUAUUAUCACUAAUUUUUUUAAUUUUAUUAAAUGUUUCCGUGAUUGACAAUAUAUUCCAUGUUAUUCAAGUCAACAAGCUAAUAAUUUGACAUCUAUAAUGAUGCAUGCAUCAAUACGUUAGUAUUCUUGGGAUUAAUAUGAUGCUUUUUAUUGGUGUUCUGUGUUUUGCUAUUGUACAUAUACUUGACUUCAAGUGCAUAAAUAGAAUUGAAACAUUCGAUGGGACUUUCCAGUCUCAUUUGUUCAUUGAACUGCCAAUUUAUGACAUGAGUUAUAUUCUUAUGAAUUCACUGCAAUUUGAAAUGACACUUUCAUCAUAUUUGUUGAUUUUUCCGGAGAGUAAACUAUCCAAAAUUAAAGUGCUUGUUUGCUAACGAGGUAAUGGACAAAAUAUAAUCUGAUUUUGGUCAUUUGAAAAUCUUUAUUUUGAUGAUCUAGUACACGUAUACACACACAUGAUAAUGCCCUUGUUUUUCAUAGCAGAUUCUACAAACCCAGGUUGAGGUGUCCUUGUUUCUUUGAGUUGCUAAGACUUUCAAAUUCCCACCUACUACUGCCUUUGCUUUCCUGAGCAGAUAUACGCAAAACCAAGGUUUGAGGUGUCUUAUUUUUUGAUUCACUCCUAGAUUUAAAUCUAAUAUUCUCUUGUCUCUGGGAAUGUGUAAACAACAGAACCAGUAUUACAUCCCUGAUGCAUCUCCCAGGUCCUGUCAUUGCUAUUGUCUCAAUUCUUUUGAAGCUAAGGAUAGGGAUCUUGUAUUUUGUUGACAUCAAAGUUUUAUAGGUUCACUUUACAUUACCUGCAUGUACUACAUUUUUUCUUUUCCCUUUGUCCCUGUUGAAAACUCACUUGCGCUUGAUUUGUGCAAUAUACUUGUUAUUGUAGGGCUUUGUUGCAGCAUCUUAAUAUUAAGCAUGUGAUGUUGUGGUUUGAUGCCCUGAAAUUUGAUUGCAGAUUGGAUUUCUCUAUUUGAGAUAUGCUGCUGAUCCAAAGACUUUAUGGAAUUGGUUUGAACCAUAUAUUAAAGAUGAUGAGGAAUUCUCUCCGAGCUCUAAUGGACGGAAGAGCACAAUGGGUAUAUAUGUGCGCGACUUGCUUCUUGGACAGUACUACUUCGAUACCCUUUUCCCUCGUAUUCCUGUUCCUGUAAUGCGGCAGAUUGUGUCUAAUCUUGAGAAGAUGAAACUCCCCAGUAAACCUUCUGGUGCAACAGGGGAUUCCAUCCGCCAUGGAUCUGAUGAUACUGCACGUCGACCACCAUCUGUGAAGGCUGCACUUUCAGUCUCAUUUGGUCAGCGUGCUCCUCAUCGCGCAUCAACCAGGGACUCAUCACCUGUUCGUCGUACGCUACCACCACCCUCUUAUGAUAGAAUUAGUGAUGACCCAAGAAGAUCUCCCAGUAGUCGUCGUAGCCAGAGUCGUGAAUAUUCUGAUAAAGAGUAUUCAGACAGAGACAAAGAUCGGGAUCGGGAUUUGGACCGUGAAAGAGACCGAGAGAGGGAACGUGAUCGGGAUAGGGAUAGGGAACGUGAAAGAGACUGGUACAGGGACCUCGAACGAGAGCAAGAGCGGGGCCGAGACAGAGACCGGGACAGGGAGAGGGACAGAGAGAGAAAAUAUGAUUAUGAUCAGAGGUCCAGGUAUUCUGAGAGAGAAAGCAGAAGGGACUAUGAAAGGAGCAGCCGUGAUGGAAGUAGGCACUACAGAGAAAGUAGCUCACGUAGAAGCCAUAGCCGGAGUAGGAGUCGCAGCCGGAGCAGGAGCAGAAGUCGAAGUGUGCAAAUUGGUGUGGCACCAUUUGAUCGUCAUUCCAGUCCAUACAAGGAUGUAAGCAAGGAGAAGACAUCUGCAUCUAGCAAUUUGGCGAAGCUCAAGGAUCUGUAUGGUGACUUAGGUGAUCAGAAAGGGGAUUCUGUUCUGGAAAGAGUACCUCGAAGGGAUAAUGGUGGUGAAGAGGUCAUUAGGCUUGGUGGUUCUACAUGGAAAUAAUUAUACAAUAGAUUAUCAUGCAAUUCACAAGUCAGAUGUAUCAUUGGGGUCUUCAAACAGGCUAACUUAUUUGUUCAGGUCAAAAAAAAACAAUUACCUUCUUGAGCUUUUUAUUCGCUGUAGGCAUAGUAACAUGUCAAUGACGGAUGAUACUGAAACUGGCAAGUGCAACUUGCCGAGUCAGAGGGAUGCGUGUUUUUUAGAUGCCCUUUCCAAUUCCAACUUUCGGUUUAAUUCUUCAUGGCAGUAAAAUUGUGUUUAGCAACUAUUCAAGUGCUUAUUGUAGAGAGAUUUUAAGCCGUAAUUACUAUAUGGUUAUUCUUAAUUUUCCUCGAGCAGACCCAUGCCUGUAGCUCUGGGAACUGUCUGCAUAUCCUAUAUAAAUGUAAGCAGGAAGUCACUGCUGGUUGAACUGGCGUGCAAAAGAUUUAUUUCUACCCUAGGAUUUGGUUGUGAAUUUUUCACCAUAUUGAAGCGUUAAAGCAUCAAUUAAUGUUACUAAUAAAAAUUAUUCUCUGGAUGUUAUACCU